UACGAAGGGAGCUAGCGUUGUUCGGAAUCACUGGGCGUAAAGCGCACGUAGGCGGACUCUUAAGUCGGUGGUGAAAUCCUGGAGCUCAACUCCAGAACUGCCUUCGAUACUGGGAGUCUCGAGUUCGGGAGAGGUGAGUGGAACUGCGAGUGUAGAGGUGAAAUUCGUAGAUAUUCGCAAGAACACCAGUGGCGAAGGCGGCUCACUGGCCCGAUACUGACGCUGAGGUGCGAAAGCGUGGGGAGCAAACAGG
rnacentral:rRNA from 1 species